AUGAUGCUACAUCUAUCAGAAAAAUAUAUCAGCAGAAGAAUAAAUCAAGAAAUUGUGGAAACAAAAAUAACAACUCAGCAAGCUUUCAUCAGAUCAAUUGGAAUCAAUCCCAGCCUUACAAAUCUCAGGAAGCUAUCUGAUUCAACCACUCGGAUUUACCAAUCUCUAAUUAACAGAAUUUUUGUAACAAACCUCAGAACCAACCUAAAUAGAAUUUCCAAUAGCAGCUAA